UACGAAGGGGGCUAGCGUUGCUCGGAAUCACUGGGCGUAAAGCGCACGUAGGCGGACUCUUAAGUCGGUGGUGAAAUCCUGGAGCUCAACUCCAGAACUGCCUUCGAUACUGAGAGUCUCGAGUCCGGGAGAGGUGAGUGGAACUGCGAGUGUAGAGGUGAAAUUCGUAGAUAUUCGCAAGAACACCAGUGGCGAAGGCGGCUCUCUGGGCAGAUACUGACACUGAGACGCGAAAGCGUGGGUAGCAAACAGG
rnacentral:rRNA from 1 species